rnacentral:lncRNA from 1 species
CAGAGACCACGGUCCCCUCUGCGCCAUCUGGGAGAUUGGUGUCUCCCCUUGGUAGGGUAAGCUGCCGCUGGGGAGAUAGGGUGCUGUGCUCCUCUCCCUGAAACACAGGCUGCCGCUGGAGAGGGAGACCGCCUGUCUCCACUCCCAUAACAUUGUCCUGCGGCUGGAGAGAGAGACCAACUGUCUCUGCUCCCUGUAGGACACACUGCUGCUGGGGGGGAAGGACGACACCUUC